rnacentral:rRNA from 1 species
CAGUUAAAAAGCUCGUAGUCGGAUGUCGGGCUCGGGCAGGCUGUCGGCUUCGGUCGGACGGCAGGCUCGGGUCUUUCUGCCUGAGGAUCCCGUGCACUUUAUUGUGGGCGGGGGACGCAGGCCGUUUACUUUGAAAAAAUUAGAGUGUUCAAAGCAGGCCUACGCUUGAAUACAUUAGCAUGGAAUAAUGGAAUAGGACUUUGGUGCUAUUUUGUUGGUUUAUGGGACCGAAGUAAUGAUUAACAGGGACAGUUGGGGCCGUUUAUAUUUCGUUGUCAGAGGUGAAAUUCUUGGAUUUACGAAAGAUAAACUUCUGCGAAAGCAUUCGGCAAGGAUGUUUUCAUUGAUCAAGAACGAAAGUUAGGGGAUCGAAGACGAUCAGAUACCGUCGUAGUCUUAACCAUAAACUAUGCCGACUAGGGAUCAGUGGAUGUCAAUUUGCGACUCCAUUGGCACCUUGUGAGAAAUCAAAGUUUUUGGGUUCCGGGGGGAGUAUGGUCGCAAGGCUGAAACUUAAAGGAAUUGACGGAAGGGCACCACCAGGAGUGGAGCCUGCGGCUUAAUUUGACUCAACACGGGGAAACUUACCAGGUCCAGACAUAGUAAGGAUUGACAGAUUGAAAGCUCUUUCU